GUACUGCUGAAGAGUCCCAAGCUAGGAUGUAACACUUGUCCAGUAC
rnacentral:hammerhead_ribozyme from 1 species